AUGUGCACUCUCGGGGGAAGGGAGGCCAGGGCACAGGCAGGGGCGAGGGGCCAGAGCCGGGCACCGAGCCAGUGGGAGGGGCAUUGGACUUCGAGCUCGUGGCCAAGGCGGGCCUCUGCGGGCGAUGACGGAGCGGGAUCGGUGCCUCUGAGCUCGGAACGGAGACGGAGCCACGUCUCCAGUGGGGUGUUGGUGCCUGCCAGCCACGGAGGCCGGGCGGCCAGGACGCGCACAGAGGGAUAUGAUAUGGUCCGGUGUGAUGGAGAGAGCAGGCGGGACCGUCCAGCCUCCCAGGUGAGUGCAGAUGCGGGCGGUGCCCCCACCCGGGGCCCGCUGACCCGCACUGAGCCUCAUAGGCGCCUCUCUCCCAUAGGACACUGGCCCCGCGGGGAGCCCGGAUAUCGACGUUCCUUUAGUCUCCUGACGGAGCAGACACACCACUGCUGCUCUUCAGACACCCAGAACCCUCAAGAUGACAAGGUGAGAGGGCCCGCCACAUGCAGGGUGGCGGGGCGCAUGGGCCCCAGAGGUGGGCACUCACGCUCUCCCUCCCCGCAGAGAUGGUGCUACCCAGCUCAUGCCUGGGACUUGGAACACGGACUUCUUCAAGUCUUCUAGCUCUGACUCAAGAAUAUGCUGCAUUUUGGAACCACUACACACCCUAACUCAGGAAUCAGCUCUGGAAGGUACUGUCCCCUGCGAAGUGCCCCCGCCCCGCCCCCCGGCCCAGCCUGCCCCGCCCUCACGCCUUCUCUCUGUCCGCAGGUUGACCUAAAGGAACGGACGACCCACACCACCGGAAGAGCAGCCCCCGCGGCGACACCCACCCCGGCCCGGCGACUCCAUCUCUGCGGCCCCCCCCUGCCUCAGCCCCGAGACCACCGACAGCCUCCCUCCCUCCUUUUCCUCCUUUUCUGACUCUAUUUUCUGAUCUUCUCUCUGCUAUCCUUUGCUCAGGAGACUCAGAGCCUCCAGAGCCCCGUUCUCCCCGUCCCCCUUGAAUCAAUUUGCACUAAAAGUCGUUUGCACUGGUUGGGGCUCUGGAGCCAGCCCUGGUCUCUGAGCGUGUGUAAGCGCGCGUGUGUGCACACUGCUGAAUGUGUAGGCCUCCUUGGCCCGUGCCCCCGCCCAGCACCCUUCCCACACUUGCGGGUGCCUGGGAGGGGGCCCGAGUGGGGGGGCCCGCGUGUGAGGGGCCCCGCCCGCCCGCACCGAGUCUGGAGGCUCCGAACAUCAGGAGCACACACCAAGCAUGAACGUGUGUCCAUCUUGCCUAGUGUCCCUCCCUGCCAGGGCCUCCUCAGAUGCCCUGGACUCAUCAAUAAACUCAGUUACAGGAAUUUGUCUCA
rnacentral:lncRNA from 1 species